GCCUGGCUGGCUCAGUCAGCAGAGCAUGGGACUCUUGAUCUCAGAGUUGUGAGUUUGUGCCCCAUGUUGGGUG
rnacentral:tRNA from 1 species